rnacentral:rRNA from 1 species
UAGGGAAUCUUCGGCAAUGGACGAAAGCCUGAUGGAGCAACGCCGCGUGUGUGAUGAAGGGUUUCGGCUCGUAAAACACUGUUGUAAGAGAAGAAUGACAUUGAGAGUAACUGUUCAAUGUGUGACGGUAUCUUACCAGAAAGGAACGGCUAAAUACGUGCCAG